rnacentral:sRNA from 1 species
GUACAAAAAGAGGCCCAAAACUGAUCCUGAUUUGGGCCUAGGGGAAUGGCUCAUGGAGAGCCUACGCUAACUGUUUUAAACAAGCUUGUAAGAGAAAAUCAAGCUUCACACCUUUUGCGAACAGCCGUUCUAGUUCGCAAUUUA